UACGGAGGAUCCGAGCGUUAUCCGGAUUUAUUGGGUUUAAAGGGUGCGUAGGCGGCCUAUUAAGUCAGGGGUGAAAGACGGUAGCUUAACUAUCGCAGUGCCUUUGAUACUGAUGGGCUUGAAUAUACUUGAGGUAGGCGGAAUGUGACAAGUAGCGGUGAAAUGCAUAGAUAUGUCACAGAACAUCAAUUGCGAAGGCAGCUUACUAAGGUAUGAUUGACGCUGAGGCACGAAAGCGUGGGGAUCAAACAGG
rnacentral:rRNA from 1 species